CUGGGUAGUGUGAAAGGAUAGGCUGGAGCUAGGUAGCUAAGCAGCUUGGCAAGUGGAGCUACUGAGGAUUCCAAACAAGACCUCUGGAGUCCUCUCCACAGUAUAUGGGUUGAACCAUGUGAAAUAGACAAUAUUCGGCCAUUUAGGGCCAAGACAAAUGCCAGCUUUGUGGGGUGCAGCCUCACAGAGACGCUGCUUGGGGGUCUUUGCAGAGGGUGGAUGAGCAGAGGGCAUCCUCCGGAGCCUGCUGGGGGACGCGGCUCUGAGGCCGCCAGGCCAGUGGUGUUCAGACUCUAGUGUAGGCUGGGAGAAAGGGGAGGUUCAAGAAACACGGAGGAGGUGAAGCGGCAGAACCAGGGGGAUGGGAUGCUGCAGAGGAGAAGGAGAACUGAGGUUGAGGUCCAGGUUUGCAGAGACGUAGACUGUGAGGCACGGCAGGCACUUGGGCCAUCCAGGGCCCUCCACCAGUUUCCAGGUUACCUGGGACCAUGGAUAACUCUCAGCUCAGCAACUAUCAGUUGAUUUCCAAGCUGCUGUUGGCUGGACUCAGGCUCAGCAGGGAGCACCUGGCAAGCCCUGUGCUGCGGGCUGGACUCAGGCCCAUCUCGCUGAUUACUCUUGUUUUGCUCUCCAGUGUGUCCUCAGGAUGUCAGAGUCCGCUUGUUGUUUUUCAUGACCACGGGAGGAGCGGCACCAACAUGAGGGUCUAGCAUCUCCCCAGUGCUGGCUUCCCAGGGCUGGGGCAACCCUGGGGGAGGGGUUGGGACAGGGAACUCUGUCGCUUGCUGCCACUGCCUGGGUCAACUGCCUGGCAGGGCUGGCCACUUGUGCUCAGAAGGCUGAGGCCUUAUCUGCCUUCUCCUCUCACCCAGCACUCACGCAAGGACACACCUGAGUUGGCAUCCUCUGUGUGCUCAUGAGCUACUCGCAUGAUAAGUCUUUGUUGUACUGUGGGAUGUCACUUGGUUCAUGCUGAAGAGAAAUUGUAAAGGACUCCUUUGCCUGCUCAGUCCCCGUGGCCUCUGUCACGUUCUGUCCCCGUCCCCUUUGGGAGCACAGCAGCAGCGGGCUGGCCGAGCUGUGCAGGUGAGGUUCAGGGAUGAGGUGCAGCUGUGUGAAAAGUGAGCCUGCUGGACAGGGAGGCUUUCCUCAAGGCCUACACCUCGCUCUGAUGGCGUUAGGGUUGACGGGAAGCUUCAAUCAAAAUGCACAGGACUUGGAUGUCGAGAUGAUGUUGCUGCUGUCAGGACAAGUCACUCUCCACCAAUGACUUCCUUUGAUGUUCUGAGCUCAGCCUGGAGUCUGACCAGGGACUAUGGCACUUGUUCUCCCGAGGGAAGGCUGGCGGCCAAACCUAGCUGUGCACACCUGAACCUGCUCCUUGGCAGAGAUGAGGGGUGUGAGGUUUCACAGCCACUCAACACCCAUGGACAAUUUGGCUCCUUGUAAGGAGUUAGUCAUGCCUUUGAACUGACUUGCUUGAAAUAUAAUUGCUCCUAUUUUGCUCCAAAGACCGGUGGCA